CAGCCGCCACGGUAAUACGUAGGUGGCAAGCGUUGUCCGGAAUUAUUGGGCGUAAAGGGCUCGCAGGCGGUUUCUUAAGUCUGAUGUGAAAGCCCCCGGCUCAACCGGGGAGGGUCAUUGGAAACUGGGAAACUUGAGUGCAGAAGAGGAGAGUGGAAUUCCACGUGUAGCGGUGAAAUGCGUAGAGAUGUGGAGGAACACCAGUGGCGAAGGCGACUCUCUGGUCUGUAACUGACGCUGAGGAGCGAAAGCGUGGGGAGCGAACAGGAUUAGAGACCCCCGUAGUCCCUGUCUCUUAUAC
rnacentral:rRNA from 1 species